rnacentral:rRNA from 1 species
ACGGAAGGCAGCAGUGAGGAAUAUUGGUCAAUGGGCGAGAGCCUGGACCAGCCAAGUCGCGUGAAGGAUGAAGGUUCUAUGGAUUGUAAACUUCUUUUGUUCGAGGGUAAAGUGAGGGAUGCGUCCCUUAUUGCAAGUAUCGAACGAAUAAGCAUCGGCUAACUCCGUGCCAGCAGCCGCGGUAAUACGGAGGAUGCGAGCGUUAUCCGGAUUUAUUGGGUUUAAAGGGUGCGUAGGCGGGAUGUUAAGUCAGCGGUGAAAGCGUGUAGCUCAACUAUACCAAGCCGUUGAAACUGGCGUUCUUGAGUGUAAACGAGGUAGGCGGAAUGUGACGUGUAGCGGUGAAAUGCUUAGAUAUGUCACAGAACCCCGAUUGCGAAGGCAGCUUACCAGCAUACAACUGACGCUGAGGCACGAAAGUGCGGGGAUCAAACAGGAUUAGAUACCCUGGUA